GUCCGGUGAGAACCACCCUUUAUGUGAGAACUACCAUCUAUAUGAGAACCAAUACCAACCGUUAGAUUAUAUGAAAUUCAACAACUAAGAUCUCCAUUCUCGCGUUCUCUCUCCUCUCCAUUCUCCUCUCCUUUCUCUCCUUUCUCUCUCCUCCUCUCCAUUUUCUCACGCAUCUCUCCUCCUCUCCAUUUUCUCACGCAUCUCUCCUCUCCAUUGUCUUUGAAGCUUCAGAAGCAGCUCGCUGCCGAUAUUCUCAAGUGUGGUCGUGGUAAGGUUUGGCUUAAUCCUAAUGAAGGCAAUGAAAUCUCCAUGGCUAACUCUCGUCAAAAUGUCAGAAAGUUGGUUAAAGAUGGUUUCAUUAUCAAGAAGCCUACCAAGAUUCAUUCAAGGUCUCAUGCUCGUCGUAUGAUGAAGGCGAAGAGGAAGGGUUGUCACUCAGGAUACGGAAACUCUUUGUGCUGUAUAGAGUCAUCAGCCAUUGUGUCAUGGGCUUUGAAGAAAGAGUUGUGGAGCAUGGUGAUGUGAAGCAAGAUGAUCAAUUAGGGGCUCUCAGCCUGCAUGCAUUUUCUGAUUUGUCAUGCGUUUCACCCGUUGUAUUUCUUUUUUUAUUAAUAGAAUCUUAUAUCUAUGGUAGUACUUCUUUGCUGCACAAUAUUAUUAGGUGGUAGUUAAUCACGAUUAUUUCUCAUGUUCUUUACUCUUCUUUAAAUAUUUUUUGUGAACUAACUAUUGUCUUG